rnacentral:rRNA from 1 species
GAUGAACGCUGACAGAAUGCUUAACACAUGCAAGUCAACUUGAAUUUGGGUUUUUAACUUAGGUUUGGGUGGCGGACGGGUGAGUAACGCGUAAAGAACUUGCCUCACAGCUAGGGACAACAUUUGGAAACGAAUGCUAAUACCUAAUAUUAUGAUAAUAGGGCAUCCUAUAAUUAUGAAAGCUAUAAGCGCUGUGAGAGAGCUUUGCGUCCCAUUAGCUAGUUGGAGAGGUAACGGCUCACCAAGGCGAUGAUGGGUAGCCGGCCUGAGAGGGUGAUCGGCCACAAGGGGACUGAGACACGGCCCUUACUCCUACGGGAGGCAGCAGUGGGGAAUAUUGGACAAUGGACCGAGAGUCUGAUCCAGCAAUUCUGUGUGCACGAUGAAGUUUUUCGGAAUGUAAAGUGUUUUCAGUUGGGAAGAAACAAAUGACGGUACCAACAGAAGAAGUGACGGCUAAAUACGUG